rnacentral:rRNA from 1 species
GACGAACCGAGCGAACGUUGUUCGGAAUCACUGGGCUUAAAGGGCGCGUAGGCGGAUUUGCAAGUCCGUGGUGAAAUCCCACAGCUCAACUGUGGAACUGCCUCGGAUACUGUGAGUCUCGAGGGUGGUAGGGGUAUGCGGAACUAUCGGUGGAGCGGUGAAAUGCGUUGAUAUCGAUAGGAACUCCGGUGGCGAAGGCGGCCUUCUGGACGAUGACUGACGCUGAGACGCGAAAGCGUGGGGAGCAAACAGG